rnacentral:lncRNA from 1 species
GUUUAAUUGGGAGCACUUUUGUUCUUUUGUAGUAAUUCACAAAUAAUGGUACAUCUUAGAACGGAUGGCAUCUAAGAUAGGAAGAAACAUGGGAACUCCGUGGGGAAGUGAGGGAGAAGUAUGAAUACCUGUGUCCAGGAGGGAGGAGGAAAAAGCUAAACCCUCAUCUUCCACAGUAACGGGUCAGCAGAUUAUUUGAAAAAUUAACAAAGUAAGGAUACAGCUUUAUAAACAUAUUAUUUAGAAUGAUUGCUGUAAAUACCAGGAGUACAGCUAAAAUCACAGACCGCGAUUGGCUUGUGGGAGCAGUAAGCAUGGGUAUGGGAGAAGUUUACUGGGUUGUGAUUUUUUCAUAAGCCUCGUAAACAUGUGAAUUUUUAAACUACAUAUAUGUAUUAGAAGUAAAAGCAGUAUAUAUAGAAAUGAAAUAAAUAAAACGAAGUGCUCCAUUUCAAGCCUCCCCAGAACAGAAGUUGUCGACUGUGAAAAUAGAAAGGAGUCUUUAUGGUCUCCUCUUUCAGGGCAAAGCGGCCAACAUUGACCUCCAUCCUGGGCUGGGGAUGAAGCGUGGCUACCGGGCGACAUGCAUAUUGCUUCACAUGCCACCUCUUGCCUCCCAUCUUAGGAAACUCAGCUGCUUGAUUUUUCACUCUCAGGAGAUGAGACAGCCGGUCUUGGGGGAAAGUGGAAACCGCAGCACACACGACGCAUUUUUCAAAUGCUUGUGUUACCCAGAGCCCUCGAGAACGAGAAAGGAAGCUGGCGGCUUGGCAGGUGUGGAGGCCCCUUCCCGCAGACAUCUGUCAGCGGCUGUGGAAGCCCAGCCCCCUCCUCUUUGCAGAGGAAGAGCCCUGGAUUCCUGGCAAGAGCAGGCAUCCGUUCCACCGGUAUGUUCCAGCUGCUCGUCAUCCUGGAAGGAGGGUGGAAAAGCAAGAGAAAGAUUCCUCCUGGUAGAGCCAGAGCCGCUUGCUCCUCAGAUGUCAGACCUACGCAGGAGUUUCUGCAGGCAGAGGCACCCCGCUGCACCCGGGGCAUGCGGGCACUGCCUGCCUCUGCGUGGGGGAGGGCACCAUCUGCGAUUCGGCCAGGGUCUGGGUGAGCCCGCUGACGGAAGUCGUGAUUUGGAAUAAGCACUUAGGGGUCGCGCGGUGGUCAGAGAGGCGAUCAGGCCCACCAGUUCUUAUCCCCUCCCGAUCAGGACCGAGGCUCAGCUGCUGUGACAUGCUACAGCCCACCACGUGUUCACGUGGAAACACUUCUACACGAUGUUGACCAUCUUAGUUGCCCUUUUUCACACCUUCCCAAGCAAAGGCCUCUGAAAGUGUGCCGCCCAGAACUGGACCUGAUCCGACCAGGGAAGGGUGGGGAAACUGAGUCAAGGAAAGAUUAGUCAAUGUGUCCAGAGUCACAUAACCAGUCAAUGAAGAGAAAAGAUUCAGUCCUGGAGACCUUCUAUCUCCAAGUCCUACACUCCUCCCGCUGUGUCAUGCCGCCUCUCUGUGUAGAGCUUGGCUUCUGACGCUACGAGCACUGCCAAAAUUCUCAAACAGUUUGCUAUGUCAUAGUCAGCAAAGGCUGAGGGUGACACUGCAGCGUGGCCUUAAAGGAAGAGGCUGGAACUUAUGACUAAGGAAGUGUUGCCUGAACUCUCACCACACCCGAACUUUAUCCCCAACCCGCACCUCCAGGCUCAUACUCAGGAGAGUGGAGCAAGCCUUAGGAGCUGCCUAGAAGACACCUUGACCUGAAGUAGUGGGAGCCACCAGGGGACUCAACUAUUUGCAUCCAUUGCCUAAAGGGUCCUUUGGAAACGACUGUAGGAUCUGCAAGCCCCAGGGAGGGAGGGUUACUCCAACCCCCUUCACAAGCCCUCUGUGGGAGGAUACCAGGUCUCCUUCUAGGAAUGGACUCAGGCUCAGAGACUGUCAAGACUGAGGUGGCACACUGGCUUCCCGUCUCUGGGGAUGAGGAGGUGGAGGGAAGGAGAUGGGGAGAGACCACUUGGGGCAAGACACAGUGACCUAGAUCCCAGGUGAACCAAGUGGGAGUGGGACUGACUCCUGGACAGGAACAGCCUCAGGCAGACUUGUUACUGCAAAAUUCGGCUCCCCCUGUACAGCUAGCAUGUUCCCUCACUGCCGGGAAAGACAGAGAGAAGACCCCAGCCAGGAGUCAGGCAGAUUUUACCAGCAGGGCAGACCCUCAGCCAAGACACAGCAGCAUGUUGUAGGGAGUGACUGAGGCCAGCAGACAGGGGAAGGGAGAGGGAGAAUGGAACUGUUAUUCGCUGAGGGCCUACUCUGUGCCACAUCCUCAGGGUCAGGCCUGGACCAGGAACCAAGAGGAAAAAUACAGUUCACAGCAGAUGCUGCUCUUGCCUCACUCAAAACCACUCCACCCUCCUUCUAGCAAGAUUUCCUUUGCACUAAAGGCUGGAAUGCUAAAGACCUCAUUUUCCAAUUCCCUUGCCCUGGGGUUUCCACUAGUAACCUUCCAGGUUGAUUAAUAAUAAUGGUAACUUACCCCAGGCAGAUACUCUGGUACAUGAUGCAGCGUGAGCAUUGUUAGGGCCACCACACUGCUCCUCUAGAAGCACAGGGUGGAGGUGCUUUGGACCUUCUCCAGCAGGGGUGACAAAGGCACUAACGUCUAGUCAGUCUCUAACCUCGUGGAUGCUGAGCAGCAUCAGCAUCAGCAUCAGCACAGCUUCCUGCGUGGGCAGCGUUCCGGCCUGCCGCAGAGGCAGUGUGGUUUCUGGGUCAGCCGUGGCAGCAGCAGGUGCAGCACUACCUGGCCAGGCCAGUUUUGCAGGGUGGCUCUGGGACUUGGGCGCAGAUCCCCCACCUGGAGCCUCCUUCUUCAGCCUUUGCCACCAUUCUGUAAUUCAGUGGUUCCCAAAGGGUGGUCUCUGGCCCAGCAGUAUCAGCAGCACCUGAGAACUUGAUAGAAAUGCAGAUUCUUGGGCCCUACAUAGACCCACUGAAUCAGAAGCUCUGGGGGGUGGGGCCCAGCACUCUGGGCUCUGAGGAGCCUUUCUGCUGAUGUUGAUGCGUGCCCAAGUUUAAGAACCUCUGCUAGAAGCCAACAGCCUAUAAUGAAUCCAUUUCUGCUAAAACUAACUAGAGUCGAGGCUGUUGUCUGCAACUUAACCCUGACGGAAUCACAGUCCCUGCCCUCAGGGUGUCCAUGCGGGGGACAAGCAACUACGACAAAACAGCACGAUGUUCUGGAGAAGAACAAAAUAGGGGCCCUUAACCCGUCAAGAAUGCUGACCUCCCAACUAUUUCUAUCGUAUGUCCUUCUCAAAAAUUUUGAAUGCGUACCCUCAAUAGUUACACUUAUUUCUAAAUAUUAUAUCUACUCUAUUAAUAUAUUAUAAAACACAUAUAAAUAGAACCUUAACCUAAGACACUUUUUAAGUGAACAUAAAUAGAAGUUCUGCUGUUUUCUUCCUGCACCCCCAUGGGUGGCACUUUAGUGAU